AGUGGCGCACGGGUGAGUAACGCGUAGAUGAUCUACCCUUCAGUCUGGGACAACUCUUGGAAACGGGAGCUAAUACCGGAUAAAACCUUCGGGUUGAAAGAUUUAUCGCUGGAGGAUGAGUCUGCGUACCAUUAGCUCGUUGGUGGGGUAACGGCCUACCAAGGCGACGAUGGUUAGCGGGUCUGAGAGGACGAUCCGCCACACUGGAACUGAGACACGGUCCAGACUCCUACGGGAGGCAGCAGUAGGGAAUAUUGCGCAAUGGGGGCAACCCUGACGCAGCAAUGCCGCGUGAGUGAAGAAGGCCUUCGGGUCGUAAAGCUCUUUUAUGGGGGAAGAUGAUGACGGUACCCCAUGAAUAAGCACCGGCUAACUACGUGCCAGCAGCCGCGGUAAUACGUAGGGUGCGAGCGUUGUUCGGAAUUACUGGGCGUAAAGGGCGUGCAGGCGGAUUGGCAAGCCGGAGGUGAAAGCCCGGGGCUCAACCCCGGAGGGUCUUUCGGAACUGCCAGUCUUGAGAGGGUCAGGGGCCAGCGGAAUUCCUGGUGUAGAGGUGAAAUUCGUAGAGAUCAGGAGGAACACCGGCGGCGAAAGCGGCUGGCUGGGGCCACUCUGACGCUGAGGCGCGAAAGCGUGGGGAGCAAACAGGAUUAGAUACCCUCGUAGUCCAUGCUGUAAACGAUGUGUGUUAGACGUUGGAAAUUUAUUUUCAGUGUCGCAGGGAAACCGAUAAACACACCGCCUGGGGAGUACGACCGCAAGGUUAAAACUCAAAUGAAUUGACGGGGACCCGCACAAGUAGUGGAGCAUGUGGUUUAAUUCGAAGAUACGCGCAGAACCUUACCAACACUUGACAUGUUCGUCGCGACUCUGAGAGAUUAGAGUUUUCGGUUCGGCCGGACGAAACACAGGUGCUGCAUGGCUGUCGUCAGCUCGUGUCGUGAGAUGUUGGGUUAAGUCCCGCAACGAGCGCAACCCUCACUUUUAGUUGCCAUCAUUAAGUUGGGCACUCUGAAAGAACUGCCAGUGAUAAGCUGGAGGAAGGUGGGGAUGACGUCAAGUCCUCAUGGCCCUUACGAGUUGGGCUACACACGUGCUACAAUGGUACUUACAAUAAGAUGCAAAGAGGCGACUCGAAGCAAAUCUUAUAAAAUGUAUCUCAGUUCGGAUUGCACUCUGCAACUCGAGUGCAUGAAGCUGGAAUUGCUAGUAAUCGCGGAUCAGCGCGCCGCGGUGAAUACGUUCCCGGGUCUUGUACACACCGCCCGUCACACCAUGGAAGUUGGUUACACCUUAAGGCAAAGUUUAAAACCUUUGACUACGGUACGAUCAGCGACUGGGGUGAAGUCGUAACAAGGUAACCGUA
rnacentral:rRNA from 1 species